rnacentral:rRNA from 1 species
ACUGCGCAUAGGCAGCUCGGGGGUGCCUGAAGAGGGUGACUUUAUGGGGAGCUGUCUGGGGUAAAACUGGUAACUGGGGACCAGUCGUAACACGGUACCCAGUGCCACAUAAUAUCGCAACUGGAGUGAAGUCGUAACAAGGUAACCAGGCGGGGUGGCGGGGUUUCUAUCCGAAAAAGUAAGGUUCAGGGU